rnacentral:rRNA from 1 species
UGGGGAAUAUUGGACAAUGGGGGAAACCCUGAUCCAGCAAUGCCGCGUGAGUGAUGAAGGCCUUAGGGUUGUAAAACUCUUUCAGAAGUGAAGAUGAUGACGGUAACUUCAGAAGAAGCUCCGGCUAACUCCGUGCCAGCAGCCGCGGUAAUACGGAGGGAGCUAGCGUUGUUCGGAAUUACUGGGCGUAAAGGGCGUGUAGGCUGUUAGGUAAGUCAGAGGUGAAAUCCCUAAGCUCAACUUAGGAACUGCCUUUGAUACUAUCUUACUAGAGAUCGAGAGAAGUUGGCGGAAUUCCAAGUGUAGAGGUGAAAUUCGUAGAUAUUUGGAAGAACACCAGUGGCGAAAGCGGCCAACUGGCUCGUAUCUGACGCUGAGACGCGAAAGCGUGGGUAGCAAACAGG